UACGUAGGUGGCAAGCGUUGUCCGGAUUUACUGGGCGUAAAGGAUGCGUAGGCGGACUUUUAAGUGGGAUGUGCAAUUCCGAGGCUCAACCUCGGCGCUGCAUUCCAAACUGGAGGUCUAGAGUGCGGGAGAGGAAAGUGGAAUUCCUAGUGUAGCGGUGAAAUGCGUAGAGAUUAGGAAGAACACCAGUGGCGAAGGCGACUUUCUGGACCGUAUCUGACGCUGAUGCAUGAAAGCGUGGGGAGCAAACAGG
rnacentral:rRNA from 1 species